rnacentral:tRNA from 1 species
GCGGGUGUAGUUCAAUGGCAGAACUCCAGCCUUCCAAGCUGGUUGUGUGGGUUCGAUCCCCAUCACCCGCUCCA